CGGGACGUAGCGCAGCCAGGUAGCGCACUUCAAUGGGGUUGAAGGGGUCGUGAGUUCAAAUCUCGCCGUCCCGACCA
rnacentral:tRNA from 1 species